rnacentral:rRNA from 1 species
GACGAACGCUGGCGGCGUGCCUAAUACAUGCAAGUAGAACGCUGAAGGAGGAGCUUGCUUCUCUGGAUGAGUUGCGAACGGGUGAGUAACGCGUAGGUAACCUGCCUGGUAGCGGGGGAUAACUAUUGGAAACGAUAGCUAAUACCGCAUAAGAGUAGAUGUUGCAUGACAUUUGCUUAAAAGGUGCAAUUGCAUCACUACCAGAUGGACCUGCGUUGUAUUAGCUAGUUGGUGGGGUAACGGCUCACCAAGGCGACGAUACAUAGCCGACCUGAGAGGGUGAUCGGCCACACUGGGACUGAGACACGGCCCAGACUCCUACGGGAGGCAGCCGUAGGGAAUCUUCGGCAAUGGACGGAAGUCUGACCGAGCAACGCCGCGUGAGUGAAGAAGGUUUUCGGAUCGUAAAGCUCUGUUGUAAGAGAAGAACGAGUGUGAGAGUGGAAAGUUCACACUGUGACGGUAUCUGACCAGAAAGGGACGGCUAACUACGUG